AUAAAUGGCUCUGAUGGCAGUAUCUUUGCAUUGCACCAUGGGAUGUCAUUUUCAAAUAAUGCCCGUCAACAUUGCAUUUUAUUAUUAUUGUUAUGUGUUUAUAUGAACAUAAAAAAAUGCGUUGGUCUCGAGAACUCGGUCUGAAUUUACGAGUCCUCCUCCUUCCACUGUGGUCCGAGACCGAAGCCGUUUCUCAAUACCAAGUACGCCAAACUCGGACUUGUGUCCUUCGUAGUUCGAACUUGCAAGUUCAGACUCGGAAGAACGAACUUCUGACAUGAAAUGCAUUCUGGGAAACUUCGCUGUCAUAAGUCCACACAAGUCUCCUCUGAUGCAUCCUCGAUAAAAUGGGCGGAUCAAGAACACAUCCGGGGAUUUUAUGUGAACUUGGGCUUGAUGCGAACUUUGAAUUGGAACAGUACUUGGGCCGCGACUGAUGACGUUUCACAAGUCCACAAGAACGCAAGUACAGACAAGAACGCAUAUUGAGAAACGGCUUAGAUCUAAUUUAACACAUGAUUCAGACGGGUCCUGACACUAAAUACAUGUCUGACUGUUGAAACGAACCAAAGGAAAACCAAGAACAUCGCGUCCAUAACGAUUUAUGGUGAUUUUUUUUCUGUUACACCAUUGCCUACAUUGACGCUGAUGCGGGGUUCCCCUGUUUCAAGAUGGCCGCUCUAGUUGACGCAUUCGGCUCAAUGAACUGACGUAGCCAAGGCGACAUCUACUGUACGUAUCUAUGACAUUCCCCCAUCCCCCACAAGUGGUGCGUAGUUCAACAAAUUAUUGUAUUUAAAUAUUUGUUGUGCCUGCACAGGUACUGCUGUCUUUCGAGAGAUGCACAGUGUGCUGGAAAAAAAAUCACUGUGCCUACUGUAAAUAAUCUGUAAAUGACCUAUUUUAAUUAUACUCUGUAUUAAAAACAUCAUGUUUGUUGAACCUU